UGUCGUUUUAUUAUCUUAUUUUGGUUAGCUUCCGGUUCCGGAGGCUGUUUCUGGCUGCUAACUUUCUUUGCUUUCCCUGAGGCAUUCACCCCUCCCCCCCUGGUGCUGUGGAGAGCGCACACCUGCAGCGAAUCACUCAUCGAGGAUCACUAUUUAGGACCUGCUGCAGCUCUCUUCAGCGCCUGAGUCUUGCCAACCUUACCUUACGUGCCUCCUGCCCUGAUCACCGCAGCCAGCUCCAGCACACUCUCACUUUCCCUUGGACUCCUGAGAUCCCCCCUCCCUUUGUCACUUACCUGCACAAUAAAUCUGUUAAAUCUGC